AUUAAGGUGGUCAUCGUCGGCGCCACCAAGGAGAUCGGGAGGGCGGCGGUGAGCAGGGCGAGGGGGAUGGAGCUCGCGGGUGCCAUUGAUACCCAGUGCAUAGGGCAGGAUGCGGGAGAGUAGCAUGGAAUGGAAGAACCCCUGGAGAUUCUGGUGCUUAAUGAUCUCGCCAUGGUUCUCGGCUCCAUAGCACAGUCAAGAGGAACCGGCGUGGUUGUUGAUUUCAGUGAACCUUCUUCUAUCUAUGACAAUGUCAAGCAGACAACAGCGUUUGGCUUAAGCUCUAUCGUAUACGUUCCCAAAAUCGAGAUGGAUACAGUAACCGAGCUGUCAGCAUUCUGCGAGAAGGCAAGCAUGGGCUGCUUGGUAGCACCGACACUGUCGAUCGGAUCGGUACUCCUUCAGCAAGCUGCAAUCCAGGCCUCAUUUCACUACAAUAACGUCGAGAUUGUGGAAUCAAGGCCUAACCCAUCGGGCCUGCCAUCGCAAGACGCAGUACAGAUUGCAAAUAACAUAUCUGAUCUUGGUCAGAUAUACAACAGGGAAGAUAUGGACGCUAAUAAUCCAGAGAGAGGCCAGGUGCUCGGAGAAGACGGAGUGCGUGUGCACAGCAUGGUUCUUCCAAGGUUUGCCUCAAGCACGUCGGUCAUUUUGUCACUGGAGAGGUGCAUUUACACCUUGAAGCAUGAUGUUACAGAUGUUCGAUGCUUGAUGACAGGACUCAUUCUGGCAAUACGGAAAGUGAUACGCUUGAAGAACUUGAUCUAUGGUCUGGAGAAGUUCUUGUAG
rnacentral:rRNA from 1 species